rnacentral:lncRNA from 1 species
ACUUGAACUGGACAAUCUUCACCCUAUUCUUCAGGAAGGUUCUUGACUUGUUAUUCCUUCACCCUAUUCUUUGAGCAGACUCUUGACUUGUUACUUCGUCUUCACCCAAUUCUUCAGGCAGGCUCCUGGACUUUCUUUUUCUUUACCUUGUUCUUCAGGCGGGCUCCUGGACUUUCUUUUUCUUCACCCUGUUCUUCAGGCAGGCUCCUGGACUUUUUUUUUCUUCACCCUGUUUUUCAGGCGGGUUCCUGGACUUUCUCUUUUCUUCACCCUGUUCUUCAGGCGGGCUCCUGAACUUUCCUUCUUCACCCUGUUGUUCAGGUAGGAUCCUGGACUUACAGUUUCUUCACCCUGUUCUUCAGGUGAGCUCCUGGACUUUCAAUUUCUUCACCCUAUUCUUCAGGCGGGCUCCU